rnacentral:rRNA from 1 species
UACAGAGGGUGCAAGCGUUAUCCGGAUUUAUUGGGCGUAAAGCGUUUCGUAGGCGGAUUUGUAAGUUAUUUUUCAAAUACCACGGCUCAACCGGGGGAAGGGAGGUAAUACUGCAAGUCUAAGGUUACUAAUGGGGCUUCUGGAACUGAUGGUGUAGUAGUGAAAUACGUUGAUAUCAUCAGGAACUCCAAGGGCGAAGGCAGGAAGCUAAUUAGUUAACGACGCUGAGGAACGACAGCUAGGGGAGCGAAAGGG